rnacentral:rRNA from 1 species
ACGCUCGACACCUACGGGGGCAGCAGUGGGGAAUAUUGCACAAUGGGGGAAACCCUGAUGCAGCGACGCCGCGUGAGCGAAGAAGUAUUUCGGUAUGUAAAGCUCUAUCAGCAGGGAAGAAAGUGACGGUACCUGACUAAGAAGCACCGGCUAAAUACGUGCCAGCAGCCGCGGUAAUCUGAGCGGGCUGGCAAGGC